rnacentral:rRNA from 1 species
GAUGAACGCUAGCGGGAGGCCUAACACAUGCAAGCCGAGCGGUAGAAAGUAGCUUGCUACUUUUGAGAGCGGCGUACGGGUGCGGAACACGUGUGCAACCUGCCUUUAUCUGGGGAAUAGCCUUUCGAAAGGAAGAUUAAUGCCCCAUAACAUAUUGAUUGGCAUCAAUUAAUAUUGAAAGCUCCGGCGGAUAGAGAUGGGCACGCGCAAGAUUAGCCAGUUGGUGAGGUAACGGCUCACCAAGGCGAUGAUCUUUAGGGGGCCUGAGAGGGUGAUCCCCCACACUGGUACUGAGACACGGACCAGACUCCUACGGGAGGCAGCAGUGAGGAAUAUUGGACAAUGGGUGCAAGCCUGAUCCAGCCAUCCCGCGUGAAGGAUGACGGCCCUAUGGGUUGUAAACUUCUUUUAUACAGGGAUAAACCUACUUACGUGUAAGUAGCUGAAGGUACUGUAUGAAUAAGCACCGGCUAACUCCGUG